UAAACAAACCACACGGUAUUAACGUGUAAAGCAAAUCGAAUUCGGUUGCUCGACUUGUCAUAGUCGCUUGUUUGAUAUAUGAUAUCUAAGAAUAAUUGUGUUGAUUUUCAUUUGAAUUGUGAGUGAAUUUCGUGUUUUCUUUCACAUUUUAAUAAUGAUUGCAUAUCCGUCCGGAUUCCGAUUUCCGUCAUCGGAUCGAAAUCCAUUUCAAGAAACAUAGUUUUCCUAUAACUUCGACGAAUCAACGGUGGAAGUAUAGAAAAACGUCUCGUUGGUUUUCGAACCUCUGACGGAAAUUGAUAUCCGGACAGAUAGAAAAAAAAUCAAGUUGGUAAAAAUGUAAUAUCCACAGUGGGUGGUUGCAUUUAUUAUUUUAAAAGAAGUUGAACCACACCAACUAAUACUAUUUUACGAGCUGAGGCCGGCGAUUUUGUCUUUGAACAGAUCACAAAAAAAUCAAGCUACCUACAUCUAAAAGAGCUGCUGCCGGAGAACAUGAUCGGUUCGGUGCUUAUUCCUGCUAGCAAGAAGCCGCCACGAAGUACAUACGUCGCAAAGGAUAGUCUGUAUUGACGAUGCGUCUUCGCCGUUUUGAGUAUAAUUCCAUCUUAUUUGAUCCUGCUGCUGCUAAAGCAGGAAGGGAACAUGCAAUCAAUUAGAAAAAGUACCAAAUUAGUAUGCUCUGAUGCAAUUUAACAUAACCGAGGAGCCACAGCACGUCAGCCAGAUUUUCCAGAGCAAGAAAAUUUAUUUUAAAAUAUUAAUAUAUAUGUAUUAAAUUAAUGGGAUUCAACCGUAUAACGAAAGUCGCAUUCCGGAUGGAUUAAAUUAAACGAAAACAAAUUAUUAAAAAGAUGUGAAAAAUCUA